ACUUAUAUAGUUUAACUUAAAACUCUUCAUUUUCAAUGAAAGGAUGUAAAUAUACUGUAAGUA
rnacentral:tRNA from 1 species